rnacentral:tRNA from 1 species
UGUCCAAUGCGGGAAUCGAACCCGGGUCGUAGUGGUCGAAAACCAAACGGUUUAACCAGCCUUCCACCGACCCCCCCUAAACUAUUAUAGAC